rnacentral:rRNA from 1 species
AACGAACGCUGGCGGCAUGCCUAACACAUGCAAGUCGAACGGGACCUUCGUGUCUGGUGGCGCAUGGGUGCGUAACGCGUGGGAAGGUGCACUUAGGUUCGGAAUACUUCCCUUUAAGGGGUGCUAAUACCGGGUAAUGUCUUCGGACCAAAGAUUUAUCGCGUUUGGGUGGGCCGGCGAUGUUUUAGCUGGUGGGGAGGGUAAAAGCCUAUCAAGGCGUCGUUCGAUAGCUGGGCUGAGAGCAGGAUCAGCCACGCUGGGGCUGAGACACGGGGCAGACUCCUACGCGAGGGAGGAGUGGGUAAUAUAGGACAAUGGGGGAAGGUCUGAACCAGCAAUGCCGCGGGAGUCAUGAUGGCGGUAGGGUAGUGAAGCACGUUUAUACGCGACGAUAAUGACAGUACCGGGAGAAUAAGCACCGGCUAACUCCGUG